UAUCUUUAUUGAUGAUUUAGAUGAGGGGAUUGAGUCCAUCAUCAGCAAAUUUGCAGAUGACACCAAGCUGGGGGGGAGUGUCCAUCAGCUGGAGGGCAGGAGGGCUCUGCAGAGGGACCUGGACAGGCUGGAUCCAUGGGCUGAUUCCAAUGGAUGAGGUUCAACCAGGCCAAGGGCCGGGUCCUGCACUUUGGCCACAACAACCCCCGGCAGCUCCAGGCUGGGCCAGAGGGGCUGGAGAGCAGCCAGGCAGGAAGGGAGCUGGGAGUGGGGAUGGACAGGGAGCUGAACAGGAGCCAGAGUGUGCCCAGGGGGACAAGAAGGCCAAUGGAUCCUGGCCUGGCUCAGGAACAGGGUGGCCAACAGGUCCAGGGAAGUGAUUCUUGCCCUGGACUCAGCACUGGUGAGGCCACCCCUGGAGUGCUGUGUCCAGUUCUGGGCCCUCAGCUCAGGAAGGACAUGGAGGGGCUGGAGCAGGUCCAGGGAAGAGCAACGAGGCUGGGGAAGGGACUGGAGCACAAGUGCUGUGAGGAGAGGCUGAGGGAGCUGGGGCUGUUCAGCCUGGAGAAGAGGAGGCUCAGGGGAGACCUCCUCACUCUCUGCAACUCCCUGACAGGAGGGGGGAGCCAGGGGGGGGUUGGUCUCUUUUCCCAGGCAACCAUCAGCAAGACAAGAGGGCUGGGUCUGCAGCUGUGCCAGGGGAGGGUUAGGUUGGAUAUUAGAAAGAAUUUCUUUGCAGAGAGGGUGCUCAGGCAUUAGAAUGGGCUGCCCAGGGAGGGGGUGGAUUCUCCGUCCCUGGAGAUUUUUAAAAAGAGAGUGGAUGUGGCAUCAGUGCCAUGGGCUGGGAACCACAGCGGGGUUGGAUCAAGGGUUGGACUUGAUGAUCUCUGAGGUCCCUUCCAACCCAGCUGAUUCUAUGAUUCUAAGUCAGCCAGAACUGCCCCAACCAACUGCCUGGAGUAAUGACCAGGACAACAUUUCCCAGAGGGAAAGGACUCCCAGCUGGGGUUAAUUUAUUGGUACAACACCCACAGCUGGGAAAGGAAGUCUCCAGUUGUAAUCCCAAGGUGGAAAACUCUGAGGGCCUGCUGCUAAUGUGGGAAUUCACAAUGACAAGUGACAAACACUUAUGAUGCAGGACACAGACUUCCUUCUCCAUUCUCCUCAGGAUAUGACUCCGGGCUACUGUGGUGGAGGUCACAGAUCCCUGAUAGUCCUACAAGGAAUGGCUUUUCUGGCUAGAAAUUCUCACAGGAGCAACAUUCCCUGGCUCUGGUGACAUCUGGCUGCCAGAGGUACCAGAAUUAAGAGCACUUCACUACAAGUGACAUGGACACAGAAGAAUAAUAAACAAAAUACAACAGCA